UCUCUUUUAUAGUCUAGAUCUAGUUUUAAUUUGUAUGCUCUCAUCUCCAUUUGUAAACACUUUAAUUUUAAUGCACAUCUUCCUUUAGUUUAUAUUUUGUCUCUUUACAUUUUCUUGCCUCAAAUGAUAUGAAUCUUCCAAGUACCACCCCAUGCUCAAGAGCUUUUGGGAAAGGAAGAAUUCAUCCAAGCUUUAAUUAAGUGUAGAUUUUAAUUAAGUAUAUAUCUUGUGUCCUAGCACAAAAUUAAUUUAUGUUAGGGUUUAGAUUUAAAUCUCAAAAUUAUCAUACCUUUAGUUGUAUUACUUUAAUUACAUAGUUAGAGAGUAACAAAAUCAGUAUUAAAAUCUCUCGAUUGCUCCUCUGUUUUCCAGAAUCUCUGCUUCGUUUUAACUCUUUAAUUAUACUUAAACAAAUGUUCGCUUUUGCCAAUUAUAAAACUAUUCCCCUGUUCCGUUAUACAAACCCAGUUUAUUGUUCCCGCUGCUCCGUUUAACAAACCACCUCCCCUGUUUUCAUUAAAGAACCACGAUGUCUUUUUAAUUUUAGUUUAAAACCCCAAAUGAUUUUCGUUUUUUUUUUUUGUGUUUGCUCGGCUGUCUUUCUUUGUAUUUACUGAGUUCUGAUUUUGUGUUUUCAUCGCCGAGUUCUUGCCGAGUUAUAACCGAGUCGAAAUGCCUUGUUCAUUCUGCUUGGUUUUGAUUUGAUUUCUGAGUUUGUUCCGAGUUUUAAACUGCUGAAUCUUGUUCUGUGUUUGUCCGAGUAGCUAAGUCUGUGCUCGUUUCCUGGUUGGGUUCUGUUUUCGGAGUCUGCAGUUUGGUGUAUGUUGUUUGAGUUCGUUAGUUUCUUGCUGCGAGUCUUUGCUCUCGUUUGUGUGCCUGGGUUGUUUCCGAGCUUUAGUUUAGAGUUUUAUCGAUUUUGUCUGCUGGGUUCUUGUUGUUUUAUCGGUUUUUAUGCUAUUGGUUUCUUCUUCACUGAGUUGUAGCUGAGUUUCCGUCGAAUCUGUUUGUGGUCUGUGGUUGUUUCCUUUUGUUUGAUUAUUAGAUUUGGUCUGCUGCGUGUUGAUUUGCAUCGAGUCCGUUGGCUGGGAUUUGUGCGAGUUUUGUAUGUUGCUUGUCGAGUCCUGCGCGAGUUUGAGUUUGAAUCUAUUUGUUUCAGCGAAGUCUCGCCGAGUCAUGACUGUUUUUGCCGAGUCGCGAUGGCCUGGUCCCGAGUUCAUUUUGUGUGUUUGAAGCUUUGAGUCUGUGGUUCUGUCGAGUUUGUAUGUUCGAGUCUUUGAGUCUCAGUUGUAAUUCGUAGGCUUGCUGAGUUUGUAGUUUUGCUGGUUUGAUUAUGUUUAGUGGAGUCUUGUUUUGUUGGCUUGAUUUGCUGGGCUGUGUCUCAUUAUUUUUAUUCGAAGCUGCGUUGUGUAGUCGAGUUUUGUUUUUACUGAUUCAGGCUGCUGCGUACUUGAAUUCCUAUUAGUAAUAAAUGUUAGUUAAUUGUUUUUGUUUGGAUGUCACCCACUAAGUUGUUAUGCAGCGUGGUAGUUUUUG
rnacentral:lncRNA from 1 species